rnacentral:rRNA from 1 species
CCUACGGGGGGCAGCAGUGGGGGAUAUUGCACAAUGGGGGAAACCCUGAUGCAGCGACGCCGCGUGAGCGAUGAAGUAUUUCGGUAUGUAAAGCUCUAUCAGCAGGGAAGAAAGUGACGGUACCUGACUAAGAAGCCCCGGCUAACUACGUGCCAGCAGCCGCGGUAAUACGUAGGGGGCAAGCGUUAUCCGGAUUUACUGGGUGUAAAGGGGGCGUAGACGGCAGUGCAAGUCUGAAGUGAAAGGCAAGGGCUCAACCCUUGGACUGCUUUGGAAACUGUGCUGCUGGAGUGUCGGAGAGGCAA